AGUGAACGCUGGCGGUAGGCCUAACACAUGCAAGUCGAACGGCAGCACAGUAAGAGCUUGCUCUUACGGGUGGCGAGUGGCGGACGGGUGAGGAAUACAUCGGAAUCUACUUUUUCGUGGGGGAUAACGUAGGGAAACUUACGCUAAUACCGCAUACGUCCUACGGGUGAAAGCAGGGGAUCUUCGGACCUUGCGCGAUUGAAUGAGCCGAUGUCGGAUUAGCUAGUUGGCGGGGUAAAGGCCCACCAAGGCGACGAUCCGUAGCUGGUCUGAGAGGAUGGUCAGCCACACUGGAACUGAGACACGGUCCAGACUCCUACGGGAGGCAGCAGUGGGGAAUAUUGGACAAUGGGCGCAAGCCUGAUCCAGCUAUACCGCGUGGGUGAAGAAGGCCUUCGGGUUGUAAAGCCCUUUUGUUGGGAAAGAAAAGCAGCAGGUUAAUACCCCGCUGUUCUGACGGUACCCAAAGAAUAAGCACCGGCUAACUUCGUG
rnacentral:rRNA from 1 species